rnacentral:tRNA from 1 species
UCCCGCCGCCUCCAGGGGGCGUGGCUUAGGGGUUAUAGCGCCCGCUUUGCAAGCGGGAGGACGCGGGUUCGAU